rnacentral:rRNA from 1 species
GCUCCAAUAGCGUAUAUUAAAGUUGUUGCAGUUAAAAAGCUCGUAGUUGGACCUUGGGCCUGGACGGGCGGUCCGCCUCACGGCGUGUACUGUCUUGCCGGGCCUUCCUCUUGGUGAUCUGUUGUUUCGGCAGCAGGGAACCAGGACCUUUACUUUGAAAAAAUUAGAGUGUUCAAAGCAGCUCGACGCCGGAAUAUAUU